UACAGAGGGCUCAAGCGUUGUUCGGAUUCAUUGGGCGUAAAGGGUGCGUAGGCGGCGCGGUAAGUCGGGUGUGAAAUCUUGGAGCUUAACUCCGAAACUGCAUUCGAUACUGCCGUGCUUGAGGACUGGAGAGGAGACUGGAAUUUACGGUGUAGCGGUGAAAUGCGUAGAUAUCGUAAGGAAGACCAGUGGCGAAGGCGGGGCUCUGGACAGUUCCUGACGCUGAGGCACGAAGGUCAGGGGAGCAAACGGG
rnacentral:rRNA from 1 species